rnacentral:rRNA from 1 species
ACGCUCGACACCUACGGGGGCAGCAGUUGGGAAUAUUGGACAAUGGAGGAAACUCUGAUCCAGUGACGCCGCGUGAAGGAAGAAGGUCUUCGGAUUGUAAACUUAUUUUGUCAGGGAAGAAAAAAUGACUGUACCUGAAGAAAAAGCACCGGCUAACUACGUGCCACAGCCGCGGUAAUCUGAGCGGGCUGGCAAGGC